rnacentral:lncRNA from 1 species
CGGAGGAAGUAUUCGAAAUGUGUUAUUUCCUGAAUGCGGCAUCGUUUCUCCCAGGACCAUGCAAACUGCACCCCCCCCCCCCGCCUUUUUUUUAAACAAAACACGGAAACUUGGCAGCCACCUCUCUGAGGUCUGCCCAGCACGUCCCACGCGGUCUUCGUCCAAAUAAUGAGAGAGACAGACGGCACUCUAGGAGCCGUGUCCCAUAAUGAAGCAGUUGUUCAUGGCUCUCACGGGUUGCUUCGGGGACGUGUCUUCCAGUCUCGGAGACGUGAUGAGAGGCAGAGAAGUCUUGUUCCCAUGUGUAAGGCCAUUCCCAGUGGCAAACAUCUGGGGGAGAAGGCGCCCCGCUGGCAAGUUAAGAAGGGGCCGAGGUCAACUCUGGCAUUAGUCCCCUUCCUUCUCCGGUAUGAGGAUGCGAAUGCCAGGAUGGCCUGCAGCUGGGGUCUUUCUAGAGAGACGGCGAGGACCCAGAGGGCCGAAAGAAUCAAAUCACCUUCCAGAAAUUAGCUGACUAAAUUGCUUGGAAAAUAGCUUUAACGACGGCUGCUGCUUAGGAAGUAAGUGAUUCUCCCUCUUUGCAGACUAACCCUCUUCCUACCUCUGGUCCGUGGUGGAGGGAGGUGCAUUCAAGGCUGUGAGUUCCCUGCAUGUUCCCAG